UGGGACGCUUCAGCAGGACCAAAGCAACCAAUGGACGCCUCCUCUGAUUAUCAGAAAUUUGGUCAACUUGCUACAAGCCCUACAAGUGUGUUUAAAAUUGAUGAAACCGUCUCUAUAAUGAGACAAAGUGCUCGUAGUGGCAAGUCUGCCCAGCUUUUUGGUCUCUUCCCAGAAGACGUUCAAGUAUCUAAAGACCAACUGCCUCUUUCUGCCGACCACACCUCUUACGUUGUCCAAUCUACAGAAAGCCUAAUGGCCGCGCCUGACCGGUUGGUACCUCGCGACACGUUUUAUUCUGAGUCGGUCACCUUUGGCCCAGCAUCUAAUGGUGCCAGUCCGUCUUCUGAUUCGUCCGAAGUCAGCGCUAAUGUGGGUGACUUCAAAGACAAGGGCAAAAAAACUGCGUUCGUACAAGUGUGGCCGAGCUAUGUUUUCAAAGGGUCUCAGAGUGUACCUGCCUCAAGCAGCAACCCCGUUCCGCUCCCAGGGAACAUUAACACCGUCCAGGUGCCGCCAUAUGGCGCCAGACCCUUUUCUUAUGGGACUCUGCCUCCGAUGAGUUCUUUUGUGUCCAGUUCAAAUAUCGACAAAAGCCAGCAAAAUUUGAUUAAAGUGGUUCCUAGAGGCAGGUCUGCUUUUCUGCAGUCUAGAGACAUGACGUUAACAAGCACUAGUGGAAAACCUUCCUCAAAGGAUUCAUUCUAUCCGUUUAAUAGCAACCAAGGAAAGAACGCAAUAGAAGGCGGCAGAGUGGAUACCAGCGAGGUUAGCACGAGGCUAAAUGGCGACUGGCCAAGUCCCCGUGGCUCAGGACCUCAGGAGGACGUCAGAGUGAGUCACUCUUUCACUGGGUUCGGUCCGCGCUCGUCCGGCAAUGUGUCCCCUUUACUGAGUCAUGUCCAACUCUAUGGCAUGAGGUCAUCCUACAAUAGCUUAGAAACAGAUAAAUUGCAAGGAAAUCAUGGCAAAGAGCAGGAAGAUGAAGGCAACAACGAUGGCUACCCUACCACAGAAAGCAAACCGCAGGUUAGGGCCUAUGGAAAUGUUUGGUCCAGCAAUCCAAUGAAGUAUCCUUUUGUGCAGCAGAGCCUUCCGAUCUUUGGACCUGUUUCUGGUGCUGCCGCUUCCUCUCCCGGCAAUGCAGGGUUUUCUCCGUCUGAAGAUGCUCAGAGUAAAGUCCGGUCUUUCCUAAACUUGAUCAAACCCACUGCCACCAUCAGAAACAACCAGGCGGGAUUACCAGCAGCUGGCAUCUUUAGGCCAGGACAGUUCAGUAACCAGGUGUCUCAAGAAUUCACUCCCCCCUCUGGUUUAUCUUCGCGUCCAGCUUGGACACCUUUUAGUGCUGUUGCACAAACCCGUAGCGGCGUUCCAAGCAACAAUAACUACGGUCUUGGAGGAGCUCAAUCUGGACUACCUCUCUUCCCUAAUAUAAUCCGAUAUCAAGCGCGUGCAAAAGAUUCUGCCUUCAGUGGUACUGAGCCUAGCAGUUUCAUGGCAAAAAAUGGGCCCACUGGUGAAAUCGCUAAUGGUGUAAGUGGUCAAAGGCCAACUGUCUCCAGCAGCCAACCAAAGGCUGGCAGCAUUUGGCGGACAUUGCAGCCUCUCCAUAUUUUGUAUCGGAAGACGAACCCUAGUCAAGGUCAAUUGGGCCACAGCAACCCCUUGUACAACAGCUCUAACCCAAAAGAUUCUCCUCAAGGUGAGAAUGCCAUUGUCAAACCAUCCAGUGACCCCCAGACAACAAUCAUGUACAAUUUAAUCCCCAAACAGGAAGACCUUUAUCAAGACAGCACGAAAUACCAAGGAGUCGAGCAAGAGCCAAAUAUUACAAAUGCUCCUCAGGGUUCCAUAGCCAACAGCAUUUUUCAGGUUGAAGACGUCCAUGACGGCGUCCACAGCGAAGAUGCACUUUAUUCCGAAGACCGUGGAUCCCUGGAAGGAAAUGAAUCAUCAGUUUUCAAACCGGUAAACGUUUCACAUGUAACUAAUGACCCCACACUGAUGACCACUCAACACCAAGAUGUUCUGACAGAGAGUGAGUUUUAUCCCACCAGCACUGAGAUGGGGUCUGCUGCCACAGAUGUAGCCAGGAC
ensembl:lncRNA